CAGUCGCCGCGGGAAUACGUAGGGUGCGAGCGUUAAUCGGAAUUACUGGGCGUAAAGCGUGCGCAGGCGGUUUGUUAAGACAGAUGUGAAAUCCCCGGGCUCAACCUGGGAACUGCAUUUGUGACUGGCAAGCUAGAGUGUGGCAGAGGGGGGUGGAAUUCCGCGUGUAGCAGUGAAAUGCGUAGAUAUGCGGAGGAACACCGAUGGCGAAGGCAGUCCCCUGGGCCAACACUGACGCUCAUGCACGAAAGCGUGGGGAGCAAACAGGAUUAGAUACCCCAGUAGUCCCUGUCUCUUAUAC
rnacentral:rRNA from 1 species